rnacentral:ncRNA from 1 species
AAGGCUUCGGUCCGGGCGCAUGCGUCCGGUUAAAAGGGAACGCGGUGCGGCCUCGGCCAAAUCCGCGACUGCCCCCGCAACUGUAAGCGGCGAGCGACCCCGGCAGACGCCACUGGACCCUCGGGUCCGGGAAGGCCCGGGAAAGCGACGACCCGCAAGUCAGGAGACCUGCCGAAGC